CUUCUUAUCCUCCAUUCCACAGAUUAGGAAACUGACAUAGAGAAGGCAAAGGCAGUUGCCCAAGGUCACACAGCUCGUAACCGGAGGAGCCAGGCGUUAAACCCAUGCAGUGUGUGUGUCGAUAACCAUGCUACGCCACAGCCUAGCUGGCCGGUGCUGAUGGUUAUGGGUAAUUUCCAGAGAGUUAAGUAUAGCUCACUUUCUCUACUAUUCAGAGAGCAACUUCACAUCCAUUCGAAUUGAAUCGUUUUUUAAAAGACAUAAAUCAGUCAAAAAUAUUGACUCUUUCCUUGAUCAGUGAAGAACUCACUGUAUCAUAUAUUACUUUGGUCACGACAGACCAGUGGAGACAGAUUUAUAGAAGCUCAGAGAAGAUGGUUACUUCUGAAGGGCGGAUGCAUUCAGUUCCAGUCUUUGCAUCCCUGAUACCCGAGUAAAAUGCAGCUGAGAGGAGUCACCUAGUUGCCCCUCGGCCCUGAGCCAGUGUUUGGUGAUAUGACCCCUCUGCUCCCCAAGCCUCAUGCCAAGUCAGCCACACUCAACACACCAUCAUCACAGGCCCCUGUGGAAAUGCGCAGAUUGCAGCCAUAGGAAGCCAUGCGGCUGUGUAAUUAUUCAGGUGAGUAGCCUAGAGCCUCUUCUCACAUGCAAAUGGUGGAGGAAUGACUCCAAGGAGCUAAAUAUGACUUUCAGGGGAAGUCUCUUGUGGUACAUUGGGUUAAAGAUCUGCUGUUGUCACUGAAGUGGCUCACUGCUGUGGCAUGGGUUCAAUCCCAGGAAUUUCUACAUGCCGUAGGCAUGGCCAAGAAAAAGAGAAGAUGGCUUUCGUAAAGGUAGGAAUAUGGACUGUUUGACUUACCGCCACAUGACCAGAAUACAGAGAAGGUAGUUGAUAAAUAUGUGUUGGGGAAAAAUGAAUAAAUGAACAUACAAUAAUUUGUAUGCAAGAAGCAGCUGCAUUGUUAAGAGACGUGUGUCUGCUUUCAAAUUUUCUCUGUAGGAAACUGACGUGUAGGUACAGGUCAGUCAUUGCCUGUGCUUACACAGGAAUACUCUUUAAGGAAGCAUUUGCUCAGGAAAACCAGGGAGCUGUUCACAUAAAAGCGUUUGAGAAAAUCUGAGCACAGAUGAUGCCCUGGAGUUGAGAGGACUGAGCAUAGCCCCAGGUAAAAGCUGGCCCUUCUUAUCACUCAUGGAAGGAACCCAGAGCCCUUCUUUCAUCUCAGCUGUUGGAAGCAUGGGGAAGCAUAUCUUGAGACAUCCGUACAGCAGUGGGCUUCAGAUGAUGGACACUGCCGUCAGACUAGCAUCGUUAUUACCUUAUUGGACAAGUUAAUCUCUCUGUAUCUGUGCCAUUUUAACAUAGGGAGUAAGGAGAUACAUUAAAAUAUCUUUGGUGUGUAAUUUACAUAUAGCUGCAAGGUAUAAUGAAGUCAGUAGUAAGAGAUGUGAAAUUCUUGGAUUAGGAGAGUAGAAAUGAUUUAAAAUUUUCAUAAUUACCCCUGGUUGUGUGUAUUUUCCUGGCAUGUAUCUGGAUCAAUGGAGAAUGCUUCUGAAGACUGGGGAUUUCUUUCCCUGGCAGUAUGGAAGGAUGAGGGCUGGACUGAGUGAAGAUAGAGGAGUGUUAGUUUGCACUUUUCCACCUGUCAGCUGGACUGCCUGAAAUGACCUUCUUCUUCUCUACCUGAGAAACUCCUACUCAUCUUUCAAGGCUCAGCUCAAAUGCUGACUCCUCUGGGAAGCCUUCAAGAACUCUCCCAGGGUAGAGUUCCUGUUGUGGUGCAGUAGAAACAAAUCUGACUAGGAACCAUGAGGUUGCAGGUUCGAUCCCUGGCCUUGCUCAGUGGGUUAAGGAUCCAACGUUGCUGUGAACUGUGGUAUAGGUUGCGGAUGUGGUGCAGAUCCUGCAUUGCUGUGGCUGUGGUAUAGGCUGGCAGUUGUCACUCCGAUUCAUCCCCUAGCCUGGGAACUUCCAAAUGCAGCAGGUGCAGCCCUAAAAAGAGAGAGAAAGAGAGAGAGAAAAGAACUCUCCCAGGGAAAGUCUCUGUGUUCUCAUACAUUUUGCUCAAAUUUCUUUUAUAGUAUUAUUAUAGUGUUCUUGUUCUUUCAUAAUUUUGAUUUUCCAUAUCUGGUUUUCUGGGCUGAAAUGUAACUUUCUUGAAGGCCGACAAGGUGACCUGAUGUCUUUAUUUCUCUGGUACCUAGCACAGUAUAGGACUGAGUGAAUGAUUAAUUGAAUGCAUGAACUAUGUUACCCUAGGCAACUCAUGCAACGUCUCUGGUACAACAUUUUCUCCAUCUGUAAAAGGAAAACAUCAAUCCGUUUUCCCAAGUUCCGAUCCAAUUCGCAUGCUCCCUGAAUGCAUAAUCUUUUGCUAUAGAAAUUCUUUCUAGGCCCUUUCUAGGGGUGGGGCAGACAGAGUUACCUCUGGGACUCUGCCGUUUCCUCUUUGUACCCUCUCCACUCAUUUGAUUCCUCUACACAUCUUGGAUAUGAUACUUCUGCAGGCCCUUGCAUUCAGCUACUUGUCAAUAGUGUCAAGGUCAAGGCGCAGAUUCUGAAGGCAGACUGAAUUCAAAUACCGGUUCUAGCAGUUAUCAGCUAUGAGACCUUGGGAAUGUUAUUUAACCUCUCAAUUGCCUAAUUUUUAAAUAGAGAUGAGGAGGAGGAUGAUAAAUGGCAUAUGCUUUGAUCAGUCAGAAUGGAUGCCAGCCUUAAACAACCAGCACAGCUAUGCUGGACAUAGGACUCCACCCCCAUCCUACCCUGUCCUCAGUGCUCAAUCUGUUGUAGUGGUUGACUGUUUUAGAAAAUGGGAAAAAUUAAGUUUUAGUAAAAUAUACUACCCUAGCUAUUUUCAGUAAGGUGGCGGGGGGAGGGGGCACAAUUCAGGUCAAGUCCAGGCCCUAGAAUGCUCACCCCAAGACAAGUUUCCAAGCUCUGCUGGUUUCACUUUGGCAAUGAGUAAUGAGAUUGGGCUUUGGAACUUUAUUCUUCCUGGUUUGUAAACAGGAUCUAUGUCUACUUAUUAUCAGAAAAUAAUAUUAAAUGGUUUCUCAAGAUUUAUGCUUUGCUGAUCAUAUCUGCAAUUUAAGAAAUUUAUUUUUAAUAAUAAUAAUACUUAAUAGUAGAAUAAUACUUUGUAUAUAUAUAUAUAUAUAUUUUUUUUUUUUUUGGUCUUUUUUCUUGAGCCACUCCUGUAGCAUAUGGAGGUUCCC
rnacentral:lncRNA from 9 species